GACGAACGCUGGCGGCGUGCUUAACACAUGCAAGUCGAACGAAGAGCGAUGGAAGCUUGCUUCUAUCAAUCUUAGUGGCGAGCGGGUGAGUAACGCGUAAUCAACCUGCCCUUCAGAGGGGGACAACAGUUGGAAACGACUGCUAAUACCGCAUACGAUCUAACCUCGGCAUCGAGGAUGGAUGAAAGGUGGCCUCUAUUUAUAAGCUAUCACUGCAGGAGGGGAUUGCGUCUGAUUAGCUAGUUGGAGGGGUAACGGCCCACCAAGGCGAUGAUCAGUAGCCGGUCUGAGAGGAUGAACGGCCACAUUGGGACUGAGACACGGCCCAGACUCCUACGGGAGGCAGCAGUGGGGAAUCUUCCGCAAUGGACGAAAGUCUGACGGAGCAACGCCGCGUGAGUGAUGACGGCCUUCGGGUUGUAAAGCUCUGUUAAUCGGGACGAAAGGCCUUCUUGCGAAUAGUUAGAAGGAUUGACGGUACCGGAAUAGAAAGCCACGGCUAACUACGUG
rnacentral:rRNA from 1 species